CGAAUCCUGCGCCGAAUGAACUUCAGGAAUUCACCAUCAACAAAUGACUCACUUGCUGAACCGCGAGUUUUCCUUCUUUCAAUGCUCGUUUCAAAACGAGUAACUUUCCGAAGAUGGUCCUGCACAUUCUCUGGAUUACCAGCAUCUUCGGCAUAUUUGACACCUUUCCGACAAUGACUGUAUGAUUUUGAGGUCCAUCUUUUCACACUGAGGACAACUGAGGGACUCAAACACAACUAUUACAAAAGAUGACUUAUCGCCGGCUCGAGGAGAGAUGUUUUCUCCUGACAGGAAUCAGAAGCACAUUAUUAAAGAUGGAAACACAGCUGGGUCCAGAUCAUCGCCUCUGCCGUCCUCCAGGUGGACCGUUACUGUGCUGAUGAGAACACAUCUGAGGGCCACAGGAGGAAACAAGACCAGAAAGGUCAAAGAAAUUUUCUUUCUUUCUUUUUCUGUCUCUCUGCCCAUCCUUCUUUCUCUCUGUCCUUCUGUCUCAUUGACCAAAGGACGCUGCUCAGUUUAAUCUUUCUCAUGAACGUCCAGGUGCUCCUGUGUUUCCAGUGACUAUUUAAACUGGAUUCUACUGAUUAUUUGAAUUUAGAUUUGGCAUUUUAUUUCACCAUCUGCCUGGCGUGCUUUGCCUCUCAGUUCAUUAACUGUUCAUUUACACACUCCUUUUUCAUUCUCUCUGCUUCUCCCCAGUCUGCGAAUGAUUGUUUAUUAUCUCUGAUUCAGUUUUUAAUUAAAAUACUCCUCUGCUGAAGCUGCAGAUAGAUACAGGCCCAGCAGAACCCUCAGGAAAGAUGUGCUGGGACAUGCUCUGCUUAUCAGUCAAUCUGCAUUAUAUUACUUAUUAUUAUUGGUUCAUCCAAACAAAAUGCAAAAUAGAUUGCUACAUUUGUGUAGUUUAUAUUUGCGUUCAUGAGGAAGUCUCUCAUAGCCAAACUUUUCACAAUAACCAUAAUACUUCAGCUUAUU